GCUAAGUGACUGAGUAGGAACAAGUGUUUCCGCAUUCGUAAUGCGUAGGUCGCAGGUUCGACUCCUGUUUCCGGCACCA
rnacentral:tRNA from 1 species